AUGACCAGUGAUGUCAGAGCAACAGGAGGACCUAGAGGACCCAGAGCCCAGGAUCAGGAGGCCACUGUGACCUCCACAUGGGAUUUGGCAGUGGUCAUAGGUGCCACAGUCACGGAUGAGGCUGUGGCAUUGGUUGAGACUGUGGGGCUCGUGGAGGUAAAGCUGACGACAAGCAGUGGCUGCCCAUCGCCAAGCUGGGCUGCCUGGUUAAGGACAUGAAGAUCAAUCCCUGGAGGAGAUCUAGCUGUUCUCCCUGCCCGUUACGGAAUGCAGGAUUAUUGACUUUCCCUGAGUGCAUCCCUAAAAGAGGAGGUUCCGAAGCAGACUCUGUCUGGCCAAGCAGACCAGGAUCAAGGUUUUUGUUACUGUUGGGGACUAUAAUGGUCAUGUUGGUCUUGGUGUUGAGUGUUCCAAGGAGGUAGCCACUGCCUUCUGAGGGGCCAUCAUUUUGACCAUUGUCCCUGUGCCAAGAGGCUAAUGGCUAAACAAGAUUGUCAAGCCCCACACUGUUUCAUGGAAGGUAACAGGCCGUUGUGGCUCUGUGUUGGUGGGUCUCAUCCCUGCCCCCAGAGAUACUGACAUUAUCUCUGCUCCUGUACCCAAGAAGCUACUGAUGAUGGCCGGUAUAGACAACUGCUGCACAUCAGCCAGGAGCUGCACUGCCACCCUAGGCAACUUUGUCAAGAUCACCUUUGAUAGCAUCUCUAAGACCUACAACUAUCUGACCCCUGACCUCUGGAAAGAGACUGUGUUCACCAACUCUCCUUCUUAGGAAUUCACUGAGCAUCUUGGGAAAAUCCAUGCCAGAGUCUCUGUCCAAAGGACCCAGGCU
rnacentral:lncRNA from 1 species